CACGUAGGGUGCGAGCGUUUGUCCGGAAUUAUUGGGCGUAAAGAGCUCGUAGGCGGUGUGUCGCGUCGGCCGUGAAAACCUGCAGCUUAACUGUGGGCUUGCGGUCGAUACGGGCAUCACUGGAGUUCGGCAGGGGAGACUGGAAUUCCUGGUGUAGCGGUGAAAUGCGCAGAUAUCAGGAGGAACACCGGUGGCGAAGGCGGGUCUCUGGGCCGAUACUGACACUGAGGAGCGAAAGCGUGGGGAGCGAACAGG
rnacentral:rRNA from 1 species